rnacentral:rRNA from 1 species
AUUGAACGCUGGCGGCAUGCCUUACACAUGCAAGUCGAACGGCAGCACGGGAGCAAUCCUGGUGGCGAGUGGCGAACGGGUGAGUAAUAUAUCGGAACGUGCCCAGUCGUGGGGGAUAACGUAGCGAAAGCUACGCUAAUACCGCGUACGAUCUAUGGAUGAAAGCGGGGGAUCGCAAGACCUCGCGCGAUUGGAGCGGCCGAUAUCAGAUUAGGUAGUUGGUGGGGUAAAGGCCCACCAAGCCAACGAUCUGUAGCUGGUCUGAGAGGACGACCAGCCACACUGGAACUGAGACACGGUCCAGACUCCUACGGGAGGCAGCAGUGGGGAAUUUUGGACAAUGGGCGAAAGCCUGAUCCAGCCAUUCCGCGGGCAGGAUGAAGGCCCUCGGGUUGUAAACUGCUUUUGUACAGAACGAAAAGGUUUCUACUAAUACUAGGAGCUCAUGACGGUACUGUAAGAAUAAGCACCGGCUAACUACGUGCCAGCCGCCGCCGUAA